GACGUAGGGCGCGAGCGUUGUCCGGAUUUAUUGGGCGUAAAGAGCUUGUAGGCGGUUUGUCGCGUCUGCUGUGAAAAUCCGGGGCUCAACCCCGGACUUGCAGUGGGUACGGGCAGACUGGAGUGUGGUAGGGGAGACUGGAAUUCCUGGUGUAGCGGUGGAAUGCGCAGAUAUCAGGAGGAACACCGAUGGCGAAGGCAGGUCUCUGAGCCACUACUGACGCUGAGAAGCGAAAGCAUGGGGAGCGAACAGG
rnacentral:rRNA from 1 species